AUUGAACGCUGGCGGCAGGCUUAACACAUGCAAGUCGAGCGGGGUGAUGGUGCUUGCACUAUCACUUAGCGGCGGACGGGUGAGUAAUGCUUAGGAAUCUGCCUAUUAGUGGGGGACAACAUCUCGAAAGGGAUGCUAAUACCGCAUACGUCCUACGGGAGAAAGCAGGGGAUCACUUGUGACCUUGCGCUAAUAGCUGAGCAUAAGUCGGAUUAGCUAGUUGGUGGGGUAAAGGCCUACCAAGGCGACGAUCUGUAGCGGGUCUGAGAGGAUGAUCCGCCACACUGGGACUGAGACACGGCCCAGACUCCUACGGGAGGCAGCAGUGGGGAAUAUUGGACAGUGGGGGGAACCCUGAUCCAGCCAUGCCGCGUGUGUGAAGAAGGCCUUAUGGUUGUAAAGCACUUUAAGCGAGGAGGAGGCUCUUUUGGUUAAUACCCAAGAUGAGUGGACGUUACUCGCAGAAUAAGCACCGGCUAACUCUGUGCCAGCAGCCGCAGUAA
rnacentral:rRNA from 1 species